rnacentral:rRNA from 1 species
CUGAUUAUACUGUGAGAACGAAAGUUCUUGCUUUUAACUAGAUAACAACUUUCAGCAGUGGAUGUCUAGGCUCGCACAUCGAUGAAGAACGCUGCGAACUGCGACACGUAAUGCGAAUUGCAGAAUUCAGUGAGUCAUCGAAAUUUUGAACGCAUAUUGCACUUCCGGGUUAUGCCUGGAAGUAUGUCUGUAUCAGUGUCCGUAAAUCAACCUUGCCUUUCUUCCUUCUGUGUAGUCAGUGGAGGAUGUGGCAGACGUGAAGUGUCUCGCUGUGGCUGGUUUUGAACACAGUUUGCGAGUCCUUUUAAAUGGACACGACUUUCUCUUUUUUGUUUCUGCGGGGUGCUGUGCUCGAACGCGGUGGUUUUCGGAUCGCUCGCGGCUGUUGGCGACUUCGGUGAAUGCAUUAUGGAGUGGACCUCGAUUCGCGGUAUGUUGGGCUUCGGCUGGACAAUGUUGCUUAUUGUGUGUUUGUUCCGCGUUCGCCUUGAGGUGUACUUUCUGCUGUGUGCUUGAACUGGGAUCUGCUUUGUUAGUAGUGCGCGGUGAUCGUUAUUCGCGGGGACAUCUGUUGUUGUGCAUGCUCUUAGUGUGUGCUUGAGCAGAAGAGAGGUUUGAAUUUGGGAAAGUAGU